UGACAGUACUCCUACGGGGAGGCAGCAGUGGGGGAAUAUUGCACAAUGGGCGCAAGCCUGAUGCAGCCAUGCCGCGUGUAUGAAGAAGGCCUUCGGGUUGUAAAGUACUUUCAGCAGUGAGGAAGGUAGUGUAGUUAAUAGCUGCAUUAUUUGACGUUAGCUGCAGAAGAAGCACCGGCUAACUCCGUGCCAGCAGCCGCGGUAAUACGGAGGGUGCGAGCGUUAAUCGGAAUUACUGGGCGUAAAGCGCAUGCAGGUGGUUUGUUAAGUCAGAUGUGAAAGCCCGGGGCUCAACCUCGGAAUAGCAUUUGAAACUGGCAGACUAGAGUACUGUAGAGGGGGGUAGGAAUUUCAGGUGUAGCGGUGAAAUGCGUAGAGAUCUGAAGGAAUACCGGUGGCGAAGGCGGCCCCCUGGACAGAUACUGACACUCAGAUGCGAAAGCGUGGGGAGCAAACAGGAUUAGAUACCCUGGUAG
rnacentral:rRNA from 1 species